AAAAGAGGAGUGGCGAACGGGUGAGUAACACGUGGGUAACCUGCCCAUCAGAAGGGGAUAACACUUGGAAACAGGUGCUAAUACCGUAUAACAAUCAAAACCGCAUGGUUUUGAUUUGAAAGGCGCUUUCGGGUGUCGCUGAUGGAUGGACCCGCGGUGCAUUAGCUAGUUGGUGAGGUAACGGCUCACCAAGGCCACGAUGCAUAGCCGACCUGAGAGGGUGAUCGGCCACAUUGGGACUGAGACACGGCCCAAGCUCCUACGGGAGGCAGCAGUAGGGAAUCUUCGGCAAUGGACGAAAGUCUGACCGAGCAACGCCGCGUGAGUGAAGAAGGUUUUCGGAUCGUAAAACUCUGUUGUUAGAGAAGAACAAGGAUGAGAGUAACUGUUCAUCCCUUGACGGUAUCUAACCAGAAAGCCACGGCUAACUACGUGCCAGCAGCCGCGGUAAUACGUAGGUGGCAAGCGUUGUCCGGAUUUAUUGGGCGUAAAGCGAGCGCAGGCGGUUUCUUAAGUCUGAUGUGAAAGCCCCCGGCUCAACCGGGGAGGGUCAUUGGAAACUGGGAGACUUGAGUGCAGAAGAGGAGAGUGGAAUUCCAUGUGUAGCGGUGAAAUGCGUAGAUAUAUGGAGGAACACCAGUGGCGAA
rnacentral:rRNA from 1 species